UGAAGGUCCAGACUGAGUGCCGGGACAUGAGAGAUCUGUCAUAUUUCUUAAGGACGUCACUUUCAGAUCCUUCUGCUGCAGAUCCUUUCCAGUACCUUUCCGAAGCUGCCUUUCCCGAGCAUCUUGUGCAGAGUAAAGUCCUCAACGGUAAAUUUGGGUUGAUGAUCCUUCCUUGGAACGGCAUACAGAGGCUCCUCUGGUACCACCUCGGUGGCUGUCUUGUGGACAUCUGACGGUCCCUCCCAUGAAACACCCGGUAAAUCUGCAACACCAAGCAGGUAUUGCUGUGGCAGGUAAACCCAUUAUUAACCCAGAGGGAGCUCGGACCACUCCUGCCUGGCCAACACCAACCGGACCUUCUCGACCAAUAAUGUCCGACUCUCUGCUGCCCUUUGCCUUAAGAGGAAGG